rnacentral:lncRNA from 1 species
AGUGCGCGCNNNNNNNNNNNNNNNNNNNNNNNNNNNNNNCGGAGGUUGGGGGUCCCCCGGGGGCGGCCCGUAUCCCGGCUUCCUCAGGGAGCGGACCGAGAGCCCGGGCGAGAGCGCGGGCCGCGCGAGGAGCCUCCUGUCCCGGGCUCCCGGAGCAGGAUUGAGGAGGAACCGGGACGAUGGCGGCUCCCUCUCCGGCGUCAUUUCAGGGAGAAACCAGUAUCCUCUUUGUCGUCGUGCGCUGGAAGUUUGAGCGGCUGUGCAGGGCUGUCUCUGCAAGGGAGAGCCGCAGCCUCUGAAUCCUGCACAGAGCUUUUUAAAAUUUAUCUCCUAACUUAUGCCCUGCCCCUGGGGAUCCUGGGAUCGUGCUCCAGCCGGGCCAUUGCGUUCAGUAGCCCAAGAACAGUUUUCUACCGAUGCUGUGAUGCCAAAGACGACGCGUCAAAGAUGCUGUAGAAGAGGUUUGGGAUUAAGGCGAAGGUGGCCCCAGAGUAGUCCUCUGUUGCCCUUCAACUCCAGGAUUGCAUGCAAAUCAAGAAACAAACAUGAUGCUGGGAAAGAAGUCGAAAGGCAGGAGAGAAACCCGUAGGCUACUGCUGGUGAAGAGUCAGCUGAUGAUGGUCAGUGAGAAAAUUCCUCGCUAUCAAGUUCUCAUCAACAAGUCAGACGGAAUUAGGAUAUCCUCGACCUACAUUCCUGAGGAGGACAUAACAAUAAUUAUGGGAUAUGAAGUACAGCGUCUUAAGUUACAAACUAUUUUUCCAGGUCUUGUUUAUUUACGUUGAACUAAAAUUAACUGUCCAUUAAGAACACUGAUACUUAAAAAUAAGGUAUACUGCUACUAUAAAAAAAUGUAAUCUUUACCAUGUAACUGAAUAGAAUCCUAAAUUUUAUCAGUAAUAUUAAGAAAAUUUAUUUAAUAGUAUUUCCUUUUACAAUGGUGCUUGGAGUGUAGUUGGUCUGUUUCAGAUAUUCAAAUGGGAAUUUUUUUUUUUCUUUCAGAAAACAGCAAUUAUAAUUUGCUGCUUUCUCGAAAGAUUUUUUUAAAAGGGGGUUCAGAAGAAAGAAAUCUCGUCAGGGUUAGUGGCUUAUUCUAGCAGGCUUUUGGCACAGGUCCCCUGACUCAUUUUGAGACUCCAGUAUAUGCCAUGUGUCAGAAAUUAAACUGCCACCAAUGACAACUAAAUGUGAUACCCUUAGUCUGAGCACAUGAGAUGUCAUACAGAAACCAGUCCAAUCUUUGAUUUCUUUUCUCUUAGCAACUCUACAGAAUUGCAGGACUGCCCAAUUUACAGACUUUUUUUUUUUUUUAAAACACCAUCUUUAAAAAUUCCUGUAAAUUCUAAGAAGUGUUUGGUAACUUAAAAUUUGUUUUUAGGUAUUUCAUGCUAAGCUGAAAACUUUCUUUACCAAAUAUGAAACCAAAAUAUAAUGAAGUUACAGCUAAGAAAAAUCUACCCACAUAAUUAAAUUUUUAUUAAGUAAUUUUUUUCUUGAUGUUCAGCCCCGAUAUACUUUUCUAUCCAACUGGAUAAAUAAAAGCUACAAUAUAUUUAGCUCUUUUUUUUGG